AGUGAACGCUGGCGGUAGGCCUAACACAUGCCAGUCGAACGGCAGCACAGUAAGAGCUUGCUCUUACGGGUGGCGAGUGGCGGACGGGUGAGGAAUACAUCGGAAUCUACUUUUUCGUGGGGGAUAACGUAGGGAAACUUACGCUAAUACCUCAUACGACCUACGGGUGAAAGCAGGGGAUCUUCGGACCUUGCGCGAUUGAAUGAGCCGAUGUCGGAUUAGCUAGUUGGCGGGGUAAAGGCCCACCAAGGCGACGAUCCGUAGCUGGUCUGAGAGGAUGAUCAGACACACUGGAACUGAGACGCGGUCCAGACUCCGACGGGAGGCAGCAGUGGGGAAUAUUGGACAAUGGGCGCAAGCCUGAUCCAGCCAUACCGCGUGGGUGAAGAAGGCCUUCGGGUUGUAAAGCCCUUUUGUUGGGAAAGAAAAGCAGCAGGUUAAUACCCCGCUGUUCUGACGGUACCAAAAGAAUAAGCACCGGCUAACUUCGUG
rnacentral:rRNA from 1 species